ensembl:lncRNA
GCAGUUCGACACAUUUUCAUUUGGUGGCGCUGUGGCUCCUGUGUGGCCGCACUGAUUGAAAGACUGGAAAUGGAGAGAAACGCAAAACUCAAUCCACUGGCAUCAGAUCCGGUGUAUGUCUAGCUGUGCAUCAUGGAAAGAAAUAUGUCAAAACUUGAGGCAUCAGCCAAGUACAGGCAUGAAAAUGACUGGAAACACAAGCAAACAAACAAGCAAAGGACAAAGGACCAAAUUCAGAGAAGCAGCUGUUUGGACUCUCAUUCUGACGGCACCCAUUCACUACAGAGGAUCCAUCUGUUUGGUUGAAGAAACAAGCUCACAUAUAUCUUGGAUUACCUGAGGAUGAGUAAAGUUUCAGCAAAUUUGGGGACACUGCUGAACAGCUGAUCUGCCGUUAGCUGCGUAAAUCUCUCUCACGGUGAGCAGCUCCCAGAGCCCAGCUGAAUUAAUCACAGCCACACGGACACACGGGGGGCAGCCUGAGGAGGAGGACCGAGAGGAGGCUAGAGGAGAAACCAUGCUGUGAGAAAAGAGGCAGAGAAGAGACUGGAGAUAAUGAAGGUGCCCUCGCUUGGACCUAAUAUACUCCUUGUAUCAGUGGAACUUAAGGAUAAUGCUUUCCCUGGUGUGCUGAAAGAAGAUAUAAAGAUACUGGAGC